UAGCGCAUUUAAUUAUUUCUUGUCAGGUAUAUAGUUUUCGAUGACCAUUGCGUUAAUGACAGAUUGGAUAUUUUUGAUUUUCUGCUGAUCCUAAGAAGCCAGGUCAUUUUGGUGUAAAUCUAUCUCGAAAUUCAGCGUGCUCCAGGCUGCACUUAAACAUGUUUGCUCUCUCUGGUUGUUGACAAUCUGUCAUCAAAGUCAUUUCUUCAGGUGAGAGUGUUAAACUGAGGUUUAGUGCACAAAAAUGGAAAGGAACUGUUGAGAAAAUGUAUCCAUUAAUCAAGUGUGUGAAUGAUUGAUGAUUACUACACAAGAAAAGAAACACUCACUGCCAAAUAUGUUAGUCAGAGUGAACAUACGCACAUAGUGCAGUCUAAUCUUCAUUGUCUGGUUGCUACAUGACCCUUUAACACCACUUCUGAUGUGUUUUCAAUAACUUGAAAGGUGCCUCCUGCUUAAUGCAUACAGUUAUAUAUAUUUCGGAGAUAACUUAAUGUCAUGAGCCGGGUUUAGCUGCGGGCAAUUCCCCCGACAUUAGCCCCCAGAUUAUCUUGAAUACAGGCUUGGCGUGCAUUCAUGCUAAGCUUCCUGAAAUAAGAAUAGAUAAUGAGCCAGCUCCUGAAAAUCUGGGUCUCUGUCAUAUCAACCUGCCGAUGGUAAUUCCAUGCAGAAAAAAUAACCCAUAUGAUAUCUUGAGUUGAAAAAAUAACCCAUAUGAUAUCUUGAGUUGUCUUAAAAAACGCCUUGGCUUGAUAAAAAGAAAAUUUUGUCUGAUGUAGUGUCAACUUUCAAUGCUUCAGACUUUGAUAAAAAAUUCAUACGAUGUUGAGCUGACUUGUCUGAAUAUCUCGGAGGAGAUAAUCUUUGCAAACUUCUUCACCAAAAAUAUGAGACCUGGUUCGCAUAAAACUAAAAAUUUGAAGGUGUUCCUCCCUCACCUGUAGCCCCCAAGUGUUGAGUAGAAGAAAGUGAUAGCUUAAGACUUGCUUAAAUACAAAUGGUGCAUCUUUUGGAGAGAAACAGUUUGUCCAGCCAAGUCUCCAAUUAUAAACUGAAUGUUUUGCACUUCACAUGUGCAGCCCCCAAGGGCCGGCUCAUCGGUACGUGAUGAGCCGGGUCUUCAAUUUGGACUAUAUAAUCUUAGUAAACAACUGACUGCUGUCGCCCCCAAGUGUCGGGUUGUCUUGCCUCCAGCGACCUGGGACUUACAUGUACUCCUUUGAAAAUAGCAUCAUAUGAUGUAGCCCCCAAGCUUUGGGUCACUUUUCAUGUAGUGGAUUAAGGCUUGUAUACUUUGAAUUUUUGACAGGAGCAAUUGGUAGCCCCCAAGGGCGGCGCAUCAUUAUGUGAUGGGUAGGGUCUUCAAUGAGACUAUUUAUAAUGAUUAUGCAUUAGCCCCCAAGUGCCAUAGUGCAUGCUUGCAGCAACAUGGGAUGGGACUUUCAUACUUCCAUUGUAGAAUAAAAUCGUAUCCACCGUCUGGAUGAUGUUUGUUGACUGCUUUGCAUGUUAAUGUUGAACAAUGCUCCUUGUUGUAAGCUGGUGUUUGGAUUAGGAAAUAAUAGCCAUCUCUCUGAAAUGACUUUGAAAU
rnacentral:lncRNA from 1 species